AAAUGAUUUUUAAAAGGAAAAAAUAAAAUCGAAGAAAAUGCCCGUAUUUAAAUUGGUCAAAAUUUGUCUUUAUUCAUUUUGAGGUCAACUGACGGUAGAACUAAUAUUUUUAGUCAUUUUGGACUGUAUUUACGAAUUUCUCAAAGGUUUGGGGGUUGUGGUAACACAAACUAAAUAUUGAGGUAAAGUCUGCAAAAAAAAGGUUUAAGAAUACGGUUGUAAUUUUCACUAAUUUCAAAGGGGCAAAAUAGUAACUUUGUAUUUUCCAUAAAAAUCAAUUAAAUUAAAAUAAUUAAAUCAAAAAAGAUAAAAGAUGACAUAAAAAUAAAUUUAUCUUCUUCUCUCAUCCCAGCCCCAUUGCAACUAGCACCAGCACCCACUAAACCAAAACCCAUAAAACCUACCACAAUCAUGCCACCACCCACCCAUUGCCACCACUGUAUAAUCUAUCCCAACAUCUCAAGCAAUAACACAAACCAUCUCAACCAAUUUAAAGACUACAAUCGUAAACAACACAAAUAAUCUUACCCAGUUGGACAACCAUAAUCUCAAAUCAUAACCGGCAUCAAGAAAUAAGAUCACUGGGCAUGGAUAUGAGGGCUAAAGUGAUGGAAGAACAUUUAAAGAAGUUGGACAGAGAAGUGGAAGGAUUGAGUGAAGUGUUUAAAAUAUUAAGCAAAGAGGAAAAUAAAAAGAGAAGUCGAUAGCUGGAUCCCAAACAAAAUUAGUCUGCUAGUGGGCUAAUCAGUUAAAAGAGUAGAAUACAACUUGGGAACAACUCUAAUAAGGGUAAAUUGGGGAUGGUAAAUAAACUACCCAAAAUUUAUUUUCUCUAUUUUAAUGGAGAACAGUAGGGAGAAUGACUAAGGAAGAUUGUCAAUCUUGUUCAGCGCCGUGUGGGUGGGAGAGUGAUGGUCAGUGGGUUUUGUGGUUUUGAUUUGGUUUGGAAAAUAAAAUUUGAAGAUUGUACCGAGACACAAACAUAGAAUUUUUUUGUUAAAUUCACGUGAAUUUGCAAAGAAAAUUUUGGGACAUUUUGAUGUAGCGUUGAGGUGGUGGCAGCUAAGGUGGCAGUUGGUGGUGGUGGCAACGACAAGUCGGUGGAUUUGGU
rnacentral:lncRNA from 1 species